rnacentral:rRNA from 1 species
UACAGAGGGUGCAAGCGUUAAUCGGAGUUACUGGGCGUAAAGGGCGCGUAGGCGGUUAUUUAAGUUGGAUGUGAAAUCCCUGGGCUUAACCUAGGAACUGCAUUCAAAACUGGGUAACUGGAGUACUGUAGAGGGUAGUGGAAUUUCCGGUGUAGCGGUGAAAUGCGUAGAGAUCGGAAGGAACACCAGUGGCGAAGGCGGCUACCUGGACAGAUACUGACGCUGAGGCGCGAGAGCGUGGGGAGCAAACAGG